rnacentral:rRNA from 1 species
UAUGUGAUCGUCUCUCGCAUAUCAAUAAGCGGAGGAAAAGAAACUAACAGGGAUUCCCUUAGUAACGGCGAGUGAAGCGGGAAGAGCUCAAAUUUGAAACCUUAAAGGGUUUCCCUUUACGAAUUGUAGUUUAAAGAAGUGUUUUCUGUUGAGGUUUUGGUAAAAGUUCUUUGGAAUAGGACAUCAUAGAGGGUGAGAAUCCCGUAUUUGACCUUUACUUUCAACUUUGUGAUACACUUUCAAAGAGUCGGAUUGUUUGGGAAUGCAGUCCAAAAUGGGUGGUAAAUUUCAUCUAAAGCUAAAUAUUGGCGAGAGACCGAUAGCGAACAAGUACCGUGAGGGAAAGAUGAAAAGAACUUUGAAAAGAGAGUUAAACAGUACGUGAAAUUGUCAAAAGGGAAGCGUUUGACACCAGUGUUGUCUUUUCUGAAAAUCAAUUAAAGAACUGUUUAUGCUAAGUUGUUUAGACUUUAUCAGCUAACUGUUUAGUUUUGAGCUUUUCUUUAAUGCACUUUUCAGUUAACAAGUCAACAUCAAUUUCUUUUGCUGUAAAAAAGCUUGAGGAAGGUGGCUUGAGAUUCGUCUUAAGUGUUUAUAGCCUCUUGCCUAUGCAGUCGGAGAGAUUGAGGUCUGCAGCGUAGAUCCUUCGGGGCUAAAUGCAUUUGUGCUAAGUUAUAGCAUUUUAUAGACAACUUGUUGACUAUGAUUUGUCUUGUAGCUUACUCGCUUAUGUUAUUUUACCUACGCUUAGGAUGUUGAGUCGUAGAGCACGCA